CUCAAAGAUUAAGCCAUGCAUGUAUCAGUACACGCCUUAACAAGGUGAAACCGCGAACGGCUCAUUAUAACAGCUACAAUUUACUUGACCUUGACCAAGUUACUCGGAUAACUGUGGUAAUUCUAGAGCUAAUACGUGCACCGAAGUUGUUCCUCGCGGAGCAAUGCAUUUAUUUGAGCAAAACCAAGCGGCUUCGGCCGUUUCAGUUGAAUCAGAAUAACUAAGCUGAUCGCAUGGGCUUGUCCCGGCGACGUGUCUUUCAAGUGUCUGCCUUAUCAACUUUCGAUGGUAGUGUACGUGACUACCAUGGUGUUGACGGGUAACGGAGGAUAAGGGUUCGACUCCGGAGAAGGGGCCUGAGAAAUGGCCACUACGUCUAAGGAUGGCAGCAGGCGCGCAAAUUACCCACUCUCGGUUCGAGGAGGUAGUGACGAAAAAUAACAAGGCCGUUCUCUAUGAGGCCGGCCAUUGGAAUGGGUACAACUUAAACCCUUUAACGAGUAUCAAUGAGAGGGCAAGUCUGGUGCCAGCAGCCGCGGUAAUUCCAGCUCUCAAAAUGCAUAGAACCAUUGCUGCGGUUAAAAAGCUCGUAGUUGGAUCUGUGCCGGCGACGUGGUCCGCCCUUACGGGAGGUACUUCGCUCGUCGGCUUUGGGCCGGUCUUCGGUCGGUCGCCUUCACUGGCGGCCGCUCGUGGCUGGCUGGUUUACUUUGAGCAAAUCAGAGUGCUCAGCACAGGCGUCUCGCCGGAAUGUUCGUGCAUGGAAUAAUAGAAAAGGAUUUCGGUCCUCUUUUAUUGGUUUUGUGGACUGAGAUAAUGGUUAACAGAGACGGACGGGGGCAUUCGUAUUGCUGCGUGAGAGGUGAAGUUCUUGGACCGCAGCAGGACGGACUACAGCGAAA
rnacentral:rRNA from 1 species